GAUGAACGCUGGCGGCGUGCCUAAUACAUGCAAGUCGAGCGAACAGACGAGGAGCUUGCUCCUCUGACGUUAGCGGCGGACGGGUGAGUAACACGUGGAUAACCUACCUAUAAGACUGGGAUAACUUCGGGAAACCGGAGCUAAUACCGGAAAAUAUAUUGAACCGCAUGGUUCAAUAGUGAAAGAGGGUUUUGCUGUCACUUAUAGAUGGAUCCGCGCCGCAUUAGCUAGUUGGUAAGGUAACGGCUUACCAAGGCCACGAUGCGUAGCCGACCUGAGAGGGUGAUCGGCCACACUGGAACUGAGACACGGUCCAGACUCCUACGGGAGGCAGCAGUAGGGAAUCUUCCGCAAUGGGCGGAAGCUUGACGGAGCAACGCCGCGUGAGUGAUGAAGGUCUUCGGAUCGUAAAACUCUGUUAUUAGGGAAGAACAAAUGUGUAAGUAACUAUGCACGUCUUGACGGUACCUAAUCAGAAAGCCACGGCUAACUACGUG
rnacentral:rRNA from 1 species